rnacentral:rRNA from 1 species
UACAGAGGUCUCAAGCGUUGUUCGGAUUCAUUGGGCGUAAAGGGCGCGUAGGCUGCGGGGCAAGUCGGGUGUGAAAUCUCAGAGCUCAACUCUGAAACUGCACUGGAUACUGCUCUGCUAGAGGACUGGAGAGGAGACUGGAAUUCACGGUGUAGCAGUGAAAUGCGUAGAUAUCGUGAGGAAGACCAGUGGCGAAGGCGGGUCUCUGGACAGUUCCUGACGCUGAGGCGCGAAGGCCAGGGGAGCAAACGGG